rnacentral:lncRNA from 1 species
CAAAAAGGGAGAGAAGGGUAUUAGAAGCUCCACUUUCAAUACGCAUAGUCUCUUCCAAACCAAAGCAGAUAUUGAACUUGAAAAAAAACAUCUGCGGACUUACUUUGUUCAUGUAUUUUUCAACAACAGACGGAAGGUCAGAACGAGGUUUAUAGUUUCCAAAGAAGGUUCCUUUGAGAGUCCUCUCAUUCAAGACAUUCAUGGGAUGAGUCUGGAAGACAGCAUCUUUAUGUGGAACACCAACAAGAACAGCAACUCCCCAGCCCUGACAUGGAAGGUUUCAUAGUGUAAUUAGUCUGUUUAGAAGGCCUACAAAUAUUGCAGUUCACGAGUGAACCUACGAUCCCUUUGAUUCUUUGUUUGCUUUUUUAAUCUUAGUACGUUUCAGUACAGAAACGUACAUUUCAUAGAAAUUCUUGAAUAUAGUAGGCUAAAAGAGGGGAAGAGGAUAGGAAAUUACAUC